GUUGCGCCCGAGGCCAUCAGGCUAAGGGCACGCCUGCCUGGGCGUUGCGUGCUGCAUCUCUCCCGUUGCUAAGGUCGAACAGGCAUAUACUGUUCGGCCGGCGCGGAUGAGAGUUUGGCCCCUUGUUCUUCGGUGCGAUGGGUCCAAGACCUGGGCUUUUGACGGUAAAA
rnacentral:rRNA from 1 species